rnacentral:rRNA from 1 species
UACGUAGGGUGCAAGCGUUAAUCGGAAUUACUGGGCGUAAAGCGUGCGCAGGCGGUUUUGUAAGUCUGUCGUGAAAGCCCCGGGCUCAACCUGGGAAUUGCGAUGGAGACUGCAAGGCUUGAAUCUGGCAGAGGGGGGUAGAAUUCCACGUGUAGCAGUGAACUGCGUAGAGAUGUGGAGGAACACCGAUGGCGAAGGCAGCCCCCUGGGUCAAGAUUGACGCUCAUGCACGAAAGCGUGGGGAGCAAACAGG